AGAUGGAGUCCAGGCCAGCAAUGAGACAAGCAUUCAUGAGCUAUUCGGGAGAUGGGCGUGUGCGCCAGAGAGACAGAGGAGUGCCAGGCAACCUGGGUGCUGGCCUGGCAUCCUGAUCAGGUUUAUCUCCAACCCCAUGGCCCCCUCCUGGUGGGGCUUCCUGGUGGCUGGGCUGAUGUUCCUGUGCUCCAUGAUGCAGUCGCUGAUCUUACAACACUAUUACCACUACAUCUUUGUGACUGGGCUGAAGUUUCGUACUGGGAUCAUGGGUGUCAUCUACAGGAAGGCUUUGGUUAUCACCAACUCAGUCAAACGUGCGUCCACUGUGGGGGAGAUUGUCAACCUCAUGUCAGUGGAUGCCCAGCGCUUCAUGGACCUUGCCCCCUUCCUCAAUCUGCUGUGGUCAGCACCCCUGCAGAUCAUCCUGGCGAUCUACUUCCUCUGGCAGAACCUAGGUCCCUCAGUCCUGGCUGGAGUAGCUUUCAUGGUCUUGCUGAUUCCACUCAACGGAGCUGUGGCUGUGAAGAUGCGCGCCUUCCAGGUAAAGCAAAUGAAAUUGAAGGACUCACGCAUCAAGCUGAU
rnacentral:sRNA from 1 species